UUAGCCCUAAACACAGAUAAUUACAUAAACAAAAUUAUUCGCCAGAGUACUACUAGCAACAGCUUAAAACUCAAAGGACUUGGCGGUGCUUUAUAUCCUUCUAGAGGAGCCUGUUCUAUAAUCGAUAAACCCCGAUAAACCUCACCAAUUCUUGCUAAUACAGUCUAUAUACCGCCAUCUUCAGCAAACCCUAAAAAGGAAAAAAAGUAAGCGUAAUUAUGAUACAUAAAAACGUUAGGUCAAGGUGUAACCUAUGAAAUGGGAAGAAAUGGGCUACAUUCUCUACACCAAGAGAAUCAAGCACGAAAGUUAUUAUNAAACCAAUAACCAAAGGAGGAUUUAGCAGUAA
rnacentral:rRNA from 1 species